rnacentral:rRNA from 1 species
GAUGAACGCUGGCGGCGUGCCUAACACAUGCAAGUCGAGCGAUUCUCUUCGGAGAAGAGCGGCGGACGGGUGAGUAACGCGUGGGUAACCUGCCCUGUACGCACGGAUAACAUACCGCAAGGUAUGCUAAUACGGGAUAAUAUAUUUUAGUCGCAUGGCUGAAAUAUCAAAGCUCCGGCGGUACAGGAUGGACCCGCGUCUGAUUAGCUAGUUGGUAAGGUAAUGGCUUACCAAGGCGACGAUCAGUAGCCGACCUGAGAGGGUGAUCGGCCACAUUGGAACUGAGACACGGUCCAAACUCCUACGGGAGGCAGCAGUGGGAAUAUUGCACAAUGGGCGAAAGCCUGAUGCAGCAACGCCGCGUGAGCGAUGAAGGCCUUCGGGUCGUAAAGCUCUGCCCUCAAGGAAGAUAAUGACGGUACUUGAGGAGGAAGCCCCGGCUAACUACGUGCCAGCCGCCGCCGUAA